GACGAACGCUGGCGGCAGGCCUAACACAUGCAAGUCGAGCGGAGCGGCGGACGGGUGAGUAAUGUAUGGGGAUCUGCCCGAUAGAGGGGGAUAACUACUGGAAACGGUGGCUAAUACCGCAUACUAUCGGAUGAACCCAUAUGGGAUUAGCUAGUAGGUGGGGUAAAGGCUCACCUAGGCGACGAUCCGUAACUGGUCUGAGAGGAUGAUCAGUCACACUGGAACUGAGACACGGUCCAGACUCGUACGGGAGGCAGCAGUGGGGAAUAUUGGACAAUGGGCGAAAGCCGGAUCCAGCCAUGCCGCGUGGCUGAAGAAGGUCUUCGGAGUGUAAAGCACUUUAAGUUGGGAGGCGUUACGAACAGAAUAAGCACCGGCUAACUUCGUGCCAGCAGCCGCGGUAAUAC
rnacentral:rRNA from 1 species